rnacentral:rRNA from 1 species
AUACGGAGGGUGCAAGCGUUGUUCGGAAUUACUGGGCGUAAAGGGCGUCGUAGGCGGUUUGAUAAGUCAGAUGUGAAAGCCCACGGCUUAACCGUGGAAGUGCAUUUGAAACUGUCAGACUUGAGUACCAGAGGGGAAAGUGGAAUUCCCGGUGUAGAGGUGAAAUUCGUAGAUAUCGGGAGGAAUACCGGUGGCGAAGGCGACUUUCUGGCUGGAUACUGACGCUGAGGCGCGAAAGCGUGGGGAGC